rnacentral:rRNA from 1 species
AGGUCCCGCCUGCCCUGUGACUAUAUGUUUAACGGCCGCGGUAUUUUGACCGUGCGAAGGUAGCGCAAUCACUUGUCUUUUAAAUGGAGACCUGUAUGAAAGGCACCACGAGGGCUUAGCUGUCUCCCCUUUAAAGUCAAUGAAAUUGAUCUCCCCGUGCAGAAGCGGGGAUAUGCUCGUAAGACGAGAAGACCCUAUGGAGCUUAAGAUACAAAGCGAGUCGUGUCAAACACCCCCUCAAAGGAAAUGAACGAAAUGAACUCCGCUGGAAUGUCUUCGGUUGGGGCGACCGCGGGGAAAGACAAAACCCCCACAUGGACCAGGGCCACUAUAGCCCUAAAACCUAGACCCACAGGUCAAAUCAACAGUAAUUCUGACCACCAAAGAGCCGGCAAUGCCGAUCGACGGACCGAGUUACCCUAGGGAUAACAGCGCAAUCCCCUCCCAGAGCCCUUAUCGACGAGGGGGUUUACGACCUCGAUGUUGGAUCAGGACAUCCUAAUGGUGCAGCCGCUAUUAAGGGUUCGUUUGUUCAACGAUUAAAGUCCUACGUGAUCU